AUGCAAUGAUGUUUUGAAUUUCUUCACCUGAAACCAUAAUGAAGUUUUUUUUUGAGCUUUUUAACCCUGAGCAUC
ensembl:snoRNA SNORD36 Small nucleolar RNA SNORD36